GACGGAUCUUGCACAGUGGACUAAACCACAUCUUAGCAACAAGGUGGAACUACACCGUGUUGUUGACAAGAAACUCGGGAGCAUACCAAUGGAAGAAGCUCAGGAUUUUGCUGAAGUAAUCCUUCGAUGCCUCGGUUCCAACCAUAGGACCCGACCAACAAUGACUGAGGUUGUAGCUGAUUUGGAGAAACUACAACAAAAAAUGAAUUGCUACAAUUCAGCCCAGUUGCGUUAUCUACAUACAAGAAAAUGAAUCUUUCAAUAACUUCCUUGAAGGCUUCAACAACGAUAUCA
rnacentral:misc_RNA from 1 species